UGGGGAAUAUUGCACAAUGGGCGCAAGCCUGACUGCAGCCAUGCCGCGCUGUAUGAAGAAGGCCAAUUCGGGCUUUGGUUAAAGAUACUUUCAGCGGGGAGGAAGGCGUUGUGGUUAAUAACCACAGCGAUUGACGUUACCCGCAGAAGAAGCACCGGCUAACUCCGUGCCAGCAGCCGCGGUAAUACGGAGGGUGCAAGCGUUAAUCGGAAUUACUGGGCGUAAAGCGCACGCAGGCGGUCUGUCAAGUCGGAUGUGAAAUCCCCGGGCUCAACCUGGGAACUGCAUUCGAAACUGGCAGGCUAGAGUCUUGUAGA
rnacentral:rRNA from 1 species